AUUGAACGCUGGCGGCAGGCCUAACACAUGCAAGUCGAACGAGUGGCGGACGGGUGAGUAAUGUCUGGGAAACUGCCUGACGGAGGGGCAUAACUACUGGAAACGGUAGCUAAUACCGCACACCACCGGACGUGCCCAGAGUGGAUUUGCUAGCAGGUGGGGUAAAGGGUCACCUAGGCGACGAUCCCUAGCUGGUCUGAGAGGAUGACCAGCAACACUGGAACUGAGACACGGUCCAGACUCCUACGGGAGGCAGCAGUGGGGAAUAUUGCACAAUGGGCGCAAGCCUGAUGCAGCCAUGCCGCGUGUAUGAAGAAGGCCUUCGGGUUGUAAAGUACUUUCAGCGGGGAGGCGUUACCCGCAGAAGAAGCACCGGCUAACUCCGUGCCAGCAGCCGCGGUAAUAC
rnacentral:rRNA from 1 species